rnacentral:rRNA from 1 species
CUGAAACCUAGCUUACCCAUUCCUAUGAAACCCACCUUAACUAAACUAAUUAAACAUUUUGGAUUUUAAGAAGGGGAUAAAAAUGGCCCAAGCUAAGAGAAUAAGGAUUUUAACACCUCGGCCACCGUUUUGUCAAAGAUGGAGUUUUAGUAAGGGAUGCCUCCGACCUAGGAUACUGGUAUCAGAAAAGAUUAAUCUUCCUAAGUUACAGUUAAAUAAUCAUAUUACUUUAGACUAUCAAAUAGUCAGCCUAUUGAACAGGAUCCACCUCCCAAACGGGUACAUUUCUUUUAUCAAUUAAGUGGCCUAAAGCAGCCAUCUUCAAAAAGCGUUAAAGCUUCAUUGUUUUUAUCAAAAAUACCAUUAAUUAACUGUAACCCUUCACCUGUACUGAAUGAUCUCAUAGUUAUAUGAGAGCCUAUAUGUUAGAACUAGUAACAAGAAGAAGCCCCUCUCCAAAAUGUAAGCGUAAGCCAAAAUGAACUAUUCAUUGGCAUUUAAAGUUAUAAACCUAUUGUAGCAACUUAACAAGAAAAACCUACAACUGAUAAACGUCAACCUUACACAAGCACAUUUCUGGAAAGAUAAAAAGAAUAGGAAGGAACUCGGCAAACAACUAACCCCGCCUGUUUACCAAAAACAUCGCCUCCUGAUCACCCAUAGGAGGUCCAGCCUGCCCAGUGACUAAGUUAAACGGCCGCGGUACCCUAACCGUGCAAAGGUAGCGCAAUCACUUGUUCUUUAAAUGAGGACUAGUAUGAACGGCAUCACGAGGGUUAUGCUGUCUCCCUACUCUACUCAGUGAAACUGAUCUCCCCGUGAAGAAGCGGGGAUAAAAAUAUAAGACGAGAAGACCCCAUGGAGCUUUAAACUCAGUACCAACUGCCCAAAUAAGAACCUAUUAUACUUGCAGCUAUGGUUACUAGUUUUCGGUUGGGGUGACCACGGAGUAAAAUUAAACCUCCACGAUGAAAGGAACUAAUAACCUAACCUAUGAGCUACAGCUCUAAGUAUCAACAAAUUGACUAAUUGACCCAAUUACUUGAUCAACGAACCAAGUUACCCUGGGGAUAACAGCGCAAUCCAUUUCAAGAGCUCAUAUCGACAAAUGGGUUUACGACCUCGAUGUUGGAUCAGGGUAUCCCAGUGGCGCAGCCGCUACUAACGGUUCGUUGUCAACGAUAAAUCCCCUCU